UACAGAGGUCUCAAGCGUUGUUCGGAUUCAUUGGGCGUAAAGGGUGCGUAGGCGGCGCGGUAAGUCGGGUGUGAAAUCUCGGAGCUUAACUCCGAAACUGCAUUCGAUACUGCCGUGCUUGAGGACUGGAGAGGAGACUGGAAUUUACGGUGUAGCGGUGAAAUGCGUAGAUAUCGUAAGGAAGACCAGUGGCGAAGGCGGGUCUCUUGGACAGGUUCCUGACGCUGAGGCACGAAGGUCAGGGGAGCAAACGGG
rnacentral:rRNA from 1 species